UACGUAGGUGGCAAGCGUUGUCCGGAUUUAUUGGGUUUAAAGGGUGCGUAGGCGGUCCUAUAAGUCAGUGCUGAAAUAUCCCGGCUUAACCGGGAGGGUGGCAUUGAUACUGUAGGACUUGAGUAAAGUUGAGGUUGGCGGAAUUGACGGUGUAGCGGUGAAAUGCUUAGAUAUCGUCAAGAACACCUAUUGCGAAGGCAGCUAACUAAGCUUUAACUGACGCUGAGGCACGAAAGCGUGGGGAGCGAACAGG
rnacentral:rRNA from 1 species